UUAAAUGGUAACAACCUAAAUAUGCCUAAAAAUUUUGAAUAAAUUGGCCUUUAGAGAUAUCUGGGAGUGAUAGUGACUAAACGAAGAAGGUGAAAUAAGGAAAAUCGAUAAAAUACCGGCGAGAGGGAACAAACUUUUGGUUAGGUUAGGUUAGUAUAAUAUGGUACAAGCAAGGCUUACAUAUUUCGCAAUCCCCUCUAUCGAAACCAGUUGCUCUGAAAAAAUUAAUUCCACAGAGAUUGCUUUCCAAUAAGCCAAAAAAGUUAGUGUAUAGUUAUAGGGUUUUGGGAGAUGUGGUUUGGCUAAACAAAUGUUGUAUCGCAUGGUGUGGACGUAAUGGAAUGACAUAUAGCCCCACUACUUCCUGAAUGUAGCGUGGAGCUGCCAUAUUACCUCUAAUUAAAACUAGUCGUGAUCUGCAACUAUGUUCAAUAGUACAGUUUUGGGCAUAUGAGAAUGUAGAAUCCGCUUCGUCUUUUUACCCUCAACCAACCAUCCCAUAGAAACAUGUUCACCGUUAUCCAUCGUUACUGAACAGUUGCGCUCGUUCUCUUUCAAAUCCAUUGUGAUGAAACAUGAUUCCAAUAUGACACAUUAUCCAAAGAGACUCAAGAAAUUUAAAUGAAUGAUAAACAACUGGCUUUUGGAAAUAAAAAGGUAUGUUACUUUUGGCGUUUAUUCAGAUUUGUUUUGUGAAAAAGCGAUGUUUACACAGAGCUAACCAAAAUUUGUGAAACAACGUCUCCUUCGGCACAUUUUGAUGGGAUAUUUUUGAAUACCAACCAUAUCAUUCCAAUCUAGUACAGAAUAAUCCAUCUUGUCCUUGAGCUUGAGUGGCUGGGGGGCAGCGCUUUUAAACUGACAUGGAGCUGAAUGAAACUGUUAUCACUCCCUUGUAUUCAUUGGAAAACUUGUUCACAGAUUAUGUGGAGAAAUAAUUAUUAUUAUAUAUUACAUUCGGUAAUAAAAUCUUUUUUGUAUA